ensembl:lncRNA
AUGAACAAAUAUCAAAAAAAAAUACACAAAAUUAUUUAGACAAUAAACUACAUAACCAAUUGAUGAAUACAUCGUAUGAUAUAAAUGAGAAACCGUUGACUGAGUCUUUAACAAAAUCACCUAAUGGAUAUACUAUCGAUUUGAUAGGGAAAUUUAUACCUCCAACUGUAAAUCCUAAUAAACAAAAUAAUUUAACUUAUUCGAUCGAAUGUAAUACUUACGACACAAAGACAAAUGAACAUAAACACAUUAAUUUAUUACCACAUUGUGGAAAAUCUUUAUUUGAUGAUAUAGCACUAGUGAAUAAAAAACAAACCUAUGUUAAAAUGGAUAAAAACAAGAAAGAUUUCGUAGUAUCCAUAAGUGAGGGAAAAAUGCAAGAUGAUUUAGAUUAUAUCCAAAAGAAUAAAAUGAUAAAAAAAAAAAAUAAAAAUAUUUCUUUUUUAAAUGAAACAAACGAUUUUAUUCCUGUAAAAAGUGUGGAAAAUGCAAAUGACAAAAGUAACGACGGAAGUAACGACAAAAGUAACGACAAAAGUACAGACAAAAGUAACGACANNNNNNNNNNAGACAAAAGUAACGACAAAAGUAACGACAAAAGUAACGACAAAAGUAACGACGAACAGGUACCCAGACAAGAAAAAAAAAAAAAAAAAAAAGUGAUAACAAUAAACGAAGGGGAUCAAAAAAAAAUAGGGAAUAAUAUAAAAAAUGAUACAUAUAUACCUUCAGAUGAUGAUUUAAAUAAAGAGGAAAAUAUUCUCCAAGUAGUAAAUAAUAAUAAUAAGCAGGACCAAGAGAAGAAGCAAAAGGAAAAAUCGACUACACAAAACUGUAGUAACUACAAUAAAAGUAUCAGUAAUAAAAAAGAAAAUAAUUCUUAUGCUUUACGCAAAUAUAAAUCUAUGUAUAUCACAAAGUUUAAUAAUAUUAACAAAUACAACAUGAGAGGAAAAAGUAAAAAUACGUGCAGUGCGAGAAAAACAAGAAAACAUAAAACUGUUAUUGGUUUUGAAAAAAAAAAGAAAAAAAAAAAAAACUCCAUACGAAAUAAUAAACAUAAAGAAAAAGACGAAAAAGAAGACUCUGUUAAUUGGUCCGACACAAGUGAUAUAGACAUUUUAAAUGAUAAAAUAAUAGCUGACUUAUCAAAAGAUAUAUAUAACGAUAUAAAAAUAAUAAAAAAAAAUUACGAAAGGGAUGAAUAUUUAAUUAAGUAUUCUGAUAUUUUUGAUUCCUUUUUAAAUAUCAAAUUGAUGUUAGAGAAUGAUCAAAAUAAUAGUAUGUUAUCAUCUUUUGAAAAUUCGUAUAAUUCAAAUUUUAUAACAAAAAAAAAUAAUAAUAAUUACCAGUUGAAGAGUACUACAGAAUUUUACCCAACUAGUACUAACAAAGAAGAAGAUAUAAAGAAUGAGUAUAGUAGUAGUAAACAUAUAUAUCCUAUUACAAAUCUAAACAUGUAUCAAAACAAUUAUAAUAUGUAUAACAUUAGUCCUAAAAAAGAAUUAUCAUAUAGUCAGCAGGAUUUGAAAAACAAGGACAAAGACUUAAACCAACUAAAAAAGAAAGAAAAAAACCAUUCCGUUGAAGUAGAAGAAAUGUACGAUAAAUGGAAUAAAGAUGAGGGGAAACAAGUUAAUAAUUGUGCUAAUAUAGAAAUUACUGAACCAAUUAUGAACAACCUAUACCGAUAUAAAACUAAAGCGGUCACUAUUCCAAGUGUUAUGGACAAUUCAACACACAAUAACAACUGUAGUAAUACUAUUCAGAAUAGGAAAAAGUUGCAAAGUGUUAUACCCAUAGAUUUAUCAGAUGACGAAUAUAAAACUAAAAUAAAAAAUAUAAAAAAUAAUUUAAAAUUAUUUAUUAAUGAAAUAAAUAAUAAAAAAAAUUUCACGUGGGCGUUUGACGGAAGUAAAAACAAAACCAAAUCACCCGAACUGAUGAACCAUAACAACACUAAUAUCAGCACUAAUAAUAAUAGUAAUAAUAUAAACGUAUCAAACGUAAUUAAUGAAUUACUUCUAUAUGACCCUAAAAAUUGUUUUCCUUAUAUUAAAUCAAAAAGUGAAAAUUAUAUUAAAAAAUCCAGUUCCCUUAUCGAACAUGAUGAUUAUAAUAAAAAAAAAGUUAACAUAAAAACACUAUUUUUAAAUAAAUUUUAUUCACACGAAAGUUAUAAAAUUAAUCCAAAUAAAAAUAAAAAUAAAAACAAUUAUGACAAUAUUCAUAAAUGUAUAAAAAUGAAAAGUACAAAUAACUAUAAAAAAUAUCAUUCAAUGCAUGUGAAAAAAUAUGAAAAUAUGCCAUUAGAGUAUGGAUUACUCAGCAUUGAAGGGGAGUCCAUAAACAGUGAAAGAAGCGACGAAGACGACAAUAACGAACUGAGCGACGAUAACGAAAUGGACGACAAUAACGAAAUGGACGACAAUAACGAAAUGUACGACAAUAACGAAAUGGACGAUGAUAACGAAAAUUACUUUAAAAAAAAAAAGUCGAAAAUAAAUGUAUUGGACCAAGAUCAUUCCAUUUUCAAAGAACAAAUAAAAAAUAAACGGAAUAUAAUUAACACAAAACUAAUGAAUAUGUAUGACCUUGAUCGUGAAAGUGAUAAAAUAAUGGAUGGUAAAAAUAAUAAAGGCGUAAGUUGUAACACAGAUGAGUAUGAUAAUGAUGAAGUUAUGAUUGAGGGGGGCUUUUAUACAAAAUAUGAUGGUGAUGAUGGUGAUGAUGAUGGUGAUGAUGAUGGUGAUGAUGAUGAUGGUGAUGAUGAUAAAAAAACAUAUUAUCCUAAGCUCCAACAGAUAUACACAAAAACAAAAAAGGAAUGUACUUUUUGUAAAAACUGAUUCUAUUGGUUCAAAUAAAAAGAACAACAUUCCGAAAGAUCGAAUUACA